CCCUUGUCCUUCAACGGGAGCCUUUGGUGGCCCAGUCUUGGUCAUGUGAAAGAGUCUGGACUCCUGGAUCUUCUUGCUGCAGCAGGCUGAAGUWUCGGGAGCAGACGGACAGAGUGCGUGCACCUAAAAAUCACUAGAGCUGGUGCAAAGAGGUCAGGAGAUAAAGAAGGCUGAACCACGUGCACAGGAUAAUGGUUAAAAAGCAACAYGGACUCUUAAAAAAGAAAGAGAAACCAGUAAAAAAUCAAGACUUGUGCUGGCAAUCUUCUUUUAUCAAAGCAAGAUGCAGCAUCAAGCUUUGCACGGUCCAGCAAACCAACCUUUCUUUUUUU